rnacentral:rRNA from 1 species
AUUGAACGCUGGCGGAAUGCUUUACACAUGCAAGUCGAACGGCAGCAUAGGUGCUUGCACCUGAUGGCGAGUGGCGAACGGGUGAGUAAUACAUCGGAACGUGCCCAGUCGUGGGGGAUAACGUAGCGAAAGUUACGCAAAUACCGCAUACGAUCUAAGGAUGAAAGCGGGGGACCGUAAGGACUCGCGCGAUUGGAGCGGCCGAUGUCAGAGUAGGUAGUUGGUGAGGUAAAGGCUCACCAAGCCGACGAUCUGUAGCUGGUCUGAGAGGACGACCAGCCACACUGGGACUGAGACACGGCCCAGACUCCUACGGGAGGCAGCAGUGGGGAAUUUUGGACAAUGGACGCAAGUCUGAUCCAGCCAGUCCGCGUGCAGGACGAAGGCCUUCGGGUUGUAAACUGCUUUUGUACGGAACGAAAAAGCUCUUACUAAUACUAGGAGUCCAUGACGGUACCGUAAGAAUAAGCACCGGCUAACUACGUGCCAGCCGCCGCCGUAA